rnacentral:rRNA from 1 species
UACAGAGGGUGCAAGCGUUAAUCGGAAUUACUGGGCGUAAAGCGCGUGUAGGUGGAUUGGUGUGUCAGAUGUGAAAUCCCUGGGCUCAACCCAGGAACUGCACCUGAAACUACCAGUCUUGAGUGGUGGAGAGGGAAGUGGAAUUCCUGGUGUAGAGGUGAAAUUCGUAGAUAUCAGGAGGAACACCAGUGGCGAAGGCGGCGUUCUGGACUGCAACUGACACUGAAAAACGAAAGCCAGG